UUGGAGGGCAAGUCUGGUGCCCGCAGCCGCGGUAAUUCCAGCUCCAAUAGCGUAUAUUAAAGUUGUUGCAGUUAAAAAGCUCGUAGUUGAAUUUCGGGGUUCUACCGUUGGUCGGGCUUUGUCUGUACUGGUGUGUAGAAUUUCUACCUUCUGGGGAACCAUCAUGCUAUUAAUUUAGCGUGGUGGGAAACCAGGACCUUUACCUUGAAAAAAUUAGUGUGUUCAAAGCAGGCUUAUGUCUGAAUACAUUAGCGUGGAAUAAUAGAAUAGGACGGUGGUCCUGUUUUGUUGGUUUCUGAAUCACCGUAAUGAUUAAUAGGGAUAGUUGGGGGCAUUAGUAUUCAAUUGUCAGAGGUGAAAUUCUUGGAUUUAUUGAAGACUAACUUCUGCGAAAGCAUUUGCCAAGGAUGUUUUCAUUAAUCAAGAACGAAAGUUAGGGGAUCGAAGACGAUCAGAUACCGUCGUAGUCUUAACCAUAAACUAUGCCGACUAGGGAUCGGACGAUGUUAAUUUUUCUUGACUCGUUCGGCGCCUUACGGGAAAC
rnacentral:rRNA from 1 species